rnacentral:rRNA from 1 species
CAAUAGCGUAUAUUAAAGUUGUUGCGGUUAAAAAGCUCGUAGUUGGAUUUCUGCCGAGGACGACCGGUCCGCCCUCUGGGUGUGUAUCUGGUUUGGCCUGGGCAUCUUCUUGGAGAACGUAGUUGCACUUGACUGUGUGGUGCGGUGUCCAGGACUUUUACUUUGAGGAAAUUAGAGUGUUUCAAGCAGGCACACGCCUUGAAUACAUUAGUAUGGAAUAAUAAGAUAGGACCUCGGUUCUAUUUUGUUGGUUUCUAGAGCUGAGGUAAUGAUUAAUAGGGAUAGUUGGGGGCAUUCGUAUUUAACUGUCAGAGGUGAAAUUCUUGGAUUUGUUAAAGACGGACUACUGCGGAAGCAUUUGCCAAGGAUGUUUUCAUUGA